GUUGCCUAACACUGACAAAACAAUGCAUUCCGUCCACGUUGCCGUCUGGGAAAUGGCUGACUCACCCCCACCUGCAGCUUUCCCCAGAAGACAGCAAGCCCGAGACCCAGAUCAGGCAUGGAGAAUUUCAGCCUGAAGGGUUAAAAUCAUAAGCAGCGCAUAACGGAGUUUGAAUUAGGUCUUUGGCUGUGUAUCACAAUCAGCUUCUCCUGUUGCACUGAAAAAGGAGCUUGACUCUUCCCUGAUCCCCUCAGUGGCACGUGAUACACCAGUUUGGGGCACAUUGUCAGGCUGCACCUGGAGUAUUGUGUCCAGUUCUGGUCCCCACAUUCAAAAAAGACAAGGACAGAUGAGAGAGGGUCAAAAGUAGGGCCAUGAAGGUGAUCAGAGUGCUGGAGAACCUGCCCCAUGGGGAUAGACUGAAGGAGUCAGGUCUUUUGAUCCUCGAUAAGACACGUAGGGGCCUCCUCACAGUGUUUCAGGACUCAAAGAGUAGGUACAAAAAGCAUGGAAACCCUCUCUUCACAAGGAGCCACGUGGAGAAGACAAGAGGCGACAGGAGUUCGAACCUGAUGAUCUUUCGAAGUCCUUUCCAACCAGUGCUGUUCAGUUAUUCUACAGAUGGAGUCCAAGGCUGCCGUGAUGCAGGCACAGCAGUGAGAACAGGGAGCAGAAAUUUUUGCCUGCUGUUGCUCACAUCUCCCUCAGCUACUCUGACCAGCAUAAUUGUGGGGUGACCCUUCACCACAAAGCCAUCUAGGUAAAAGCCAGCUCAUCUUUCUGCCAGCCAGUUUUAGAGGAUGCGUUUAAUACAAAAACUGCUGUAACAACUCUGCCCUUGCUGUUGGGUACCAGCAAACCUCCAGCACAGCAAUCUUCUUUGCAGAAAGAAGGCUUGAUGUUGUACUUUUUAUAGCUUCCAGUGUAGAAUUUUAAUUUCAGUUGGAGCAGUUUAGUUUGAGAUACCUAGAGAGAAAUGCUGAAGUAAAAAUCUGGACUGUGCCGGAACAUGGCA
rnacentral:lncRNA from 1 species